CCUGUCACAGGACAGGACGGGAUGUGAACCCCGAGACCGACUCGCACGGUUUGAACCACUCG
rnacentral:ncRNA from 1 species